rnacentral:rRNA from 1 species
CCUACGGGUGGCAGCAGUGAGGAAUAGUGGUCAAUGGACGCAAGUCUGAACCAGCCAGGCCGCGUGCAGGAAGACGGCUCGAUGAGUUGUAAAAUGCAGUUGUAAGAGGGUAAACGCAAAUACGCGUAUCUGUCUGAAAGUAUCGUACGAAUAAGGAUCGGCUAACUCCGUGCCAGCAGCCGCGGGAAGACGGAGGAUUCAAGCGUUAUCCGGAUUUAUUGGGUUGAAAGGGUGCGUAGGCGGUCGGAUAAGUGAGAGGUGAAAUCCCGAGGCUCAACUUCGGAAUUGCCUCUGUUACUGUUCGGCUAGAGCGUAGUUGCGGUCGGCUGAAUGUC